GUGCUCGCUUCAGCAGCACAUAUACUAAAAUUGGAAUGAUAGAAUAUUAGCAUGGCCUCUGCACAAGGAUGACAUGCAAAUCUGUGAAGUGUUCCCAAAAAAC
ensembl:snRNA U6 U6 spliceosomal RNA